CAAAAAAUGAGAUAUCCAAUCUAGUAGUAGUAAGUGCGUAAACGCAAGAUCUACCGUUUAAACAAAUCAUUAGUCAUAAAACAGAAAAUACUUGGUAAAAAACAAGUUGCCAAUCAUCACAUUUUGCCUCAUUACUUUUAUCCUUUUUUGGCUUUCUUAUCCACCGUAGCAUCGUAGUUUUCUCGCGACCUCAUUGCCGACUGAGGAUCAGAAUUUGUUCUCAUAAGAUCACUUUUAUUAUGAGAAGUCGUUGAGUCAUGUAAAGAACGCUUAACUCCAAUAAGUCCAAUGUUUUCUUUUCUUUCGUUAAUAAUCGAUUCAGAGUCACGUAUCAUAGAGUUGUUAGAAACCGGGCUUGUUUGGCUAGAUUGCUUAAUUAUAGGUAAAACCGAUGCCCUCUGUACAGGUAAUGAUUUAGAAUGAUCGAUUAUUGAGGUUUUCCUAAUAGAAGGGCUGUCGAGACGAGGAUUAAAGUUGUUCGUGAAGGGAGCUGAAACAACUCCUUCGGCUGCGGCUGCGGCCCGUGCACUAAUAAACUUUGGAGAAGGUGUACCAGUAUUUGGCUUAAGUGGGUCGAAAAGCGUUUUUGGGGAAGUGUCAGUCACAGCAUUGCCAACGGAAUCACUGGUAUUUUGUGGAACAGCGACAGGAUAGGUGUGGCUUCUCUGCACUGGUUUAGCUGAAUUGUGUGAACCUUUAUCUUUGUUAUUUAUUUGAGUGCCAGCUUUUUCAGAAUGGUGGUUAUUAGCAGCAGGAUGGGCUGUGUCCUCUGCUACUGCUAAAUGAGCAAUUAUAUCAUCCUCUACAAAAAUAUUGUCUAGCUCUUCGUCUGCAUACAUUUCAAUUUCUCUUGUCUGUUCGUCAUUUAAUUCUGCAGCUCUACGAGGAGCUAAUUGUUCUCCCUUGUUAACCAGAGGUUGAUUGUUAACAGUCCUCGUGCUAUUUAAUGUUUUCUGUUUUUUUAUGAAAGACUCUCUCGCUGCAGGAUCUGUUUUACGGAACAAGUCACCGCUAUCAAAGUGAUAAGUGGGUGGUUUCAUUUUUCCAACUUCUCUAAGAUAGUAUUUGUCAUACAUGCAAUUUCCUAAACUGUUUCCAAAAUUUCGUAGAGCGCGUUUUAAGGCAUCUGUAGUGCCCUCUUUCUUGCAUUUCUCAAACGCUGAAGCCUUUCCACGGCAAUUAUCAAUAGAACCGUAUCCAAUAUCUUCAUGAUAGGCACCAUCUUUGAUUGUCACGCGAACAAUCACGCUCAAGCCAAGACUGAUACGUCCAUUUUCCUUAUUUUCGUCCAUAAAGUCAACAUUAAUGCUGCGUAUCGACGAAGACCACCCAUUAAAUCCAAAAAUUUCGUUCGCAAGCUCAAUUGCUUUCCAAGACUCAAUAUAACUGACUGAAAAACCCCCAGGACCUGACCUUCUUGAAACGUACUCAGGUCCAAGCUUUCGAGUUAGGGAGCUUUGAAGAAAGUUAAACUCUUCAUGAGAAUACGCUGUGUUAAAAUGGCCCUGGUCUUCUGAUGCUACAUGCUGUUUUUGCUCAAAAGACAUCCCUUCUAGCUUAUAUGAAGCAGUAUAUUAGCUGUGUGCACAUGGACAGGUACCAAGUAAUAAAGAAAGAUAAGGUAGCAUAGCGAGUAACCACUUAAUGAAAAUAAAGAUCUUACAAAUCAUCAG